UACGUAGGGGGCAAGCGUUGUCCGGAUUUAUUGGGCGUAAAGAGCGUGUAGGCGGCCAGACAAGUCUGCUGUGAAAACUCGAGGCUCAACCUCGAGCUGUCGGUGGAAACUGUCUGGCUAGAGUCCGGAAGAGGAGAGUGGAAUUCCUGGUGUAGCGGUGAAAUGCGUAGAGAUUUGGAGGAACACCAGUGGCGAAGGCGACUUUCUGGUCUGUAACUGACACUGAGGCGCGAAAGCGUGGGGAGCAAACAGG
rnacentral:rRNA from 1 species